UACGAAGGGGGCUAGCGUUGUUCGGAAUCACUGGGCGUAAAGGGCGCGUAGGCGGCUAUUCAAGUCGGGGGUGAAAGCCUGUGGCUCAACCACAGAAUUGCCUUCGAUACUGUUUGGCUUGAGACCGGAAGAGGACAGCGGAACUGCGAGUGUAGAGGUGAAAUUCGUAGAUAUUCGCAAGAACACCAGUGGCGAAGGCGGCUCACUGGCCCGAUACUGACGCUGAGGCACGAAAGCGUGGGGAGCAAACAGG
rnacentral:rRNA from 1 species